CCUACGGGAGGCAGCAGUGGGGAAUCUUGCGCAAUGGGCGAAAGCCUGACGCAGCAACGCCGCGUGCGGGAUGAAGGCCUUCGGGUUGUAAACCGCUUUCAGCAGGGAAGAAAUUGACGGUACCUGCAGAAGAAGCCCCGGCCAACUACGUGCCAGCAGCCGCGGUAACACGUAGGGGGCGAGCGUUGUCCGGAUUUAUUGGGCGUAAAGAGCUCGUAGGCGGUUCGGUAAGUCGGGUGUGAAACCUCCAGGCUCAACCUGGAGACGCCACCUGAAACUGCUGUGACUAGAGUCCGGUAGGGGAGUGUGGAACUCCUGGUGUAGCGGUGAAAUGCGCAGAUAUCAGGAAGAACACCAGCGGCGAAGGCGGCACUCUGGGCCGGUACUGACGCUGAGGAGCGAAAGCGUGGGUAGCAAACAGGAUUAGAUACCCUGGUAGUCCACGCCGUAAACGUUGGGCACUAGGUGUGGGUCUCAACCAACGAGAUCCGUGCCGCAGCUAACGCAUUAAGUGCCCCGCCUGGGGAGUACGGCCGCAGGCUAAAACCGUUAAANGAAUUGAACGG
rnacentral:rRNA from 1 species